rnacentral:rRNA from 1 species
GCAACGCGAAAACCUUACCACCUUUGACAUGUACGGAAUCCUUAGAGAUAGAGGAGUGCUCGAAAGAGAGCCGUAACACAGGUGCUGCAUGGCUGUCGUCAGCUCGUGUCGUGAGAUGUUGGGUUAAGUCCCGCAACGAGCGCAACCCUUGUCAUUAGUUGCUACAUUCAGUUGGGCACUCUAAUGAGACUGCCGGUGACAAACCGGAGGAAGGUGGGGAUGACGUCAAGUCCUCAUGGCCCUUAUAGGUGGGGCUACACACGUCAUACAAUGGAUGGUACAAAGGGUCGCCAACCCGCGAGGGGGGAGCCAAUCCCAUAAAGCCAUUCGUAGUCCGGAUCGCAGUCUGCAACUCGACUGCGUGAAGUCGGAAUCGCUAGUAAUCGUGGAUCAGAAUGUCACGGUGAAUACGUUCCCGGGUCUU